CUGGCGGCGUGCCUAUACAUGCAAGUCGAACGCUUUGUCUUUAACUGAUAUGAAGAGCUUGCUCUGAUUUGAUUUUAUCUGACAAAGAGUGGCGAACGGGUGAGUAACACGUGGGUAACCUACCUCUUAGCAGGGGAUAACAUUUGGAAACAAGUGCUAAUACCGUAUAAUACCAACAACCGCAUGGUUGUUGGUUGAAAGAUGGUUCUGCUAUCACUAAGAGAUGGACCCGCGGUGCAUUAGCUAGUUGGUAAGGUAACGGCUUACCAAGGCAAUGAUGCAUAGCCGAGUUGAGAGACUGAUCGGCCACAAUGGGACUGAGACACGGCCCAUACUCCUACGGGAGGCAGCAGUAGGGAAUCUUCCACAAUGGGCGCAAGCCUGAUGGAGCAACGCCGCGUGUGUGAUGAAGGGUUUCGGCUCGUAAAACACUGUUAUAAGAGAAGAACGGCACUGAGAGUAACUGUUCAGUGUGUGACGGUAUCUUACCAGAAAGGAACGGCUAAAUACGUGCCAGCAGCCGCGGUAAUACGUAUGUUCCAAGCGUUAUCCGGAUUUAUUGGGCGUAAAGCGAGCGCAGACGGUUAUUUAAGUCUGAAGUGAAAGCCCUCAGCUCAACUGAGGAAUGGCUUUGGAACUGGAUGACUUGAGUGCAGUAGAGGAAAGUGGAACUCCAUGUGUAGCGGUGAAAUGCGUAAAUAUAUGGAA
rnacentral:rRNA from 1 species